rnacentral:rRNA from 1 species
AUUGAACGCUGGCGGCAGGCCUAACACAUGCAAGUCGAGCGGAGCGGCGGACGGGUGAGUAAUGCCUAGGAAUCUGCCUGGUCGUGGGGGCUAACGUCUGGAAACGGGCGCUAAUACCGCAUACUAUCAGAUGAGCCCAUAUGUGAUUAGCUAGUAGUUGAGGUAACGGCUUACCUAGGCCACGAUCCCUACCUGGUCUGUGAGGAUGAUCAGCCACACUGGUACUGAGACACGGACAAGACUCCUACGGGAGGCAGCAGUGGGGAAGAUUGCACAAUGGGCGCAAGCCUGAUGCAGCCAUGCCGCGUGUAUGAAGAAGGCCUUCGGGUUGUAAAGUACUUUCAGUCGGGAGGCGUUACCGACAGAAGAAGCACCGGCUAACUCCGUGCCAGCAGCCGCGGUAAUAC